CCUACGGGGGGCAGCAGUGGGGGAUAUUGCACAAUGGGGGGAACCCUGAUGCAGCGACGCCGCGUGGGUGAAGAAGCGCCUCGUCGCGUAAAGCCCUGUCAGCAGGGAAGAAAAUGACGGUACCUGAAGAAGAAGCCCCGGCUAACUACGUGCCAGCAGCCGCGGUAAUACGUAGGGGGCAAGCGUUAUCCGGAUUUACUGGGUGUAAAGGGGGCGCAGACGGCGAUGCAAGCCAGGAGUGAAAGCCCGGGGCCCAACCCCGGGACUGCUCUUGGAACUGCGUGGCUAGAGUGCAGGCGGGGCAG
rnacentral:rRNA from 1 species